CAGCCGCCGCGGGAAUACGAAGGGUGCAAGCGUUACUCGGAAUUACUGGGCGUAAAGCGUGCGUAGGUGGUGGUUUAAGUCCGUUGUGAAAGCCUUGGGCUCAACCUGGGAAUUGCAGUGGAUACUGGGUCACUAGAGUGUGGUAGAGGAUAGUGGAAUUUCCGGUGUAGCAGUGAAAUGCGUAGAGAUCGGAAGGAACAUCUGUGGCGAAGGCGGCCAUCUGGGACAACACUGACGCUGAGGCACGAAAGCGUGGGGAGCAAACAGGAUUAGAUACCCCAGUAGUCCCUGUCUCUUAUAC
rnacentral:rRNA from 1 species